rnacentral:rRNA from 1 species
GUAGGAACCGAGCGUUAUCCGAAUUUACUGGGCGUAAAGCGCGUGCAGGCGGAUUGGUAAGUUGGAUGUGAAAGCUCCUGGCUCAACUGGGAGAGGACGUACAAUACUGCCGAUCUAGAGGGUGUCAGAGGGAGGUGGAAUUCCCGGUGUAGUGGUGAAAUGCGUAGAUAUCGGGAGGAACACCAGUGGCGAAGGCGGCCUUCUGGGGCACACCUGACGCUAAGACGCGAAAGCUAGGGGAGCGAACGGGGGAUUAGAAACCCCGGUAGUCCUAGCCGUAAACGAUGUAGACUUGGUGUUGGUGGUGUAAAAGCCCAUCGGUGCCGGAGCAAACGCGGUAAGUCUACCGCCUGGGGACUACGGCCGCAAGGUUA